AACGAACGCUGGCGGCAGGCUUAACACAUGCAAGUCGAGCGCCCCGCAAGGGGAGCGGCAGACGGGUGAGUAACGCGUGGGAAUCUACCCAUCUCUACGGAAUAACGCAUGGAAACGUGUGCUAAUACCGUAUACGUCCUUCGGGAGAAAGAUUUAUCGGAGAUGGAUGAGCCCGCGUUGGAUUAGCUAGUUGGUGGGGUAAAGGCCUACCAAGGCGACGAUCCAUAGCUGGUCUGAGAGGAUGAUCAGCCACACUGGGACUGAGACACGGCCCAGACUCCUACGGGAGGAAGCAUGGGGGAAUAUUGGACAAUGGGCGCAAGCCUGAUCCAGCCAUGCCGCGUGAGUGAUGAAGGCCCUAGGGUUGUAAAGCUCUUUCACCGGUGAAGAUAAUGACGGUAACCGGAGAAGAAGCCCCGGCUAACUUCGUGCCAGCAGCCGCCGUAAAAC
rnacentral:rRNA from 1 species